UACGGAGAGUGCAAACGUUGUUCGGAUUCACUGGGCGUAGAGGGCACGUAGGCGGCUCGGCAAAUCGGUCGUGGAAUCCCGACGCUUACUGUCGGAACGGCGGCCGAAAAUACCGGGCUCGAGGGCGUGAGGGGUCACUGGAACUCCUGGUGAAGCGGUGAAAUGCGUAGAUAUCUGGAGGAACACCGGUGGCGAAGGCGGCAUUCUGGACCGACAUUGACGCUGAGGAGCGAAAGCCAGGGGAGCAAACGGG
rnacentral:rRNA from 1 species